rnacentral:rRNA from 1 species
ACCCGCUGAACUUAAGCAUAUCAAUAAGCGGAGGAAAAGAAACUAACAAGGAUUCCCCUAGUAACUGCGAGUGAAGCGGGAAAAGCUCAAAUUUAAAAUCUGGUGGUCCUUGUGGCCAUCCGAGUUGUAAUCUAGAGAAGUGUUAUCCGCGCUGGACCGUGUACAAGUCUCCUGGAAUGGAGCGUCAUAGAGGGUGAGAAUCCCGUCUUUGACACGGACUACCAGGGCUUUGUGAUGCGCUCUCAAAGAGUCGAGUUGUUUGGGAAUGCAGCUCAAAAUGGGUGGUAAAUUCCAUCUAAAGCUAAAUAUUGGCGAGAGACCGAUAGCGAACAAGUACCGUGAGGGAAAGAUGAAAAGAACUUUGGAAAGAGAGUUAAACAGUACGUGAAAUUGUUGAAAGGGAAACGCUUGAAGUCAGUCGCAUUGGCUGGAAAUCAACCUUGCUCUUUUGUGGGGUGUACUUUCUAGUUGAUGGGUCAGCAUCAAUUUUGACCGUUGGAAAAAGGUUGAGGGAAUGUGGCAUCUUCGGAUGUGUUAUAGCCCUUGAUUGUAUACAACGGUUGGGAUUGAGGAACUCAGCAUGCCGCAAGGCCGGGUUUUUAACCACGUAACAUGCUUAGGAUGCUGGCAAAAUGGCUUUAAUCGACCCGUCUUGAAACACGG